UUGUUGCAUCCCACAGGAGAAGUUUUGCCAUGAGAAGGCGCCAGAGAUUUUCAAGGAGCAGGUGAGACAAGCUCCUCCGGCGAUGGCGAGCACAGCCGAGCACCAGCCGAUGAAAAGGACCCCAGCGGUCCCUGCAAUCCUCCCUUUAAGAACAUGGUUAUCCCCUCCAGCCUUCGAACACUGUAUUCCUAUCAG